UUUUUUUUUUGAGAGAGAAGGAAAAUAUGUACUGGCAGGUAGAGAGGGUUUCUAGCCUUUCUCUGCCUGCUUAUUUAUCAUGCUUCCUACUUCUUUGCACAGGCACCUUCUUGCCCAGGACCUGCAUUUUUUUUAACCCUUUGAAGAGCCUAGGCAAGGAAAAGUACAGAAAUUCUAACAUAAUAAUUUAAAAGAAUUUGCAGACUCCACUUUUCAUCUAGGAUAAGGGUUUUAUAACCUUCAGUGGAUCUUCUGGUGUCAUGGUUCAUUUGAAUCUCCCCUGCGGGUCCUUCAGACUUCAUUGUUUGCAAUAAAUAGGAAACCUACUCUGGGUGCCCAAGAGACCAUCCUGAUCUAUGUCUCUGUCUGUAAAGGAGUUCAUAGAGGUUACCAGUAGGAAGGUGUUGGAUUGGGAGAUGCCUGAGAAGUCUCUAUGGACUCACUGUGACUGUACAUAAGGAAAUACUGCACAUGUUGGCCAGACUUUGAAGUUGGUUUUAGCUUGCUGCAGGGUAGGAAGGGGACCCAAGGUGGACAAUCAGAAUGAGAUGACAGGUCAUUCCAAAUCAAGCUGUGGCAUGCUAUGCUCCCUGGCUUGGGAAGGAGAUGUACUGUCCUCUACAGUAAACAGAACUGAGCAAGAACACCCAGCAGAUGUGGAGACAGGAGAUGGAAUCUUUACUCUUGAGCUGACAGGUCCCCUGCCCUGCUAGGGCACAACUGAAUGUCCUUGGUGCCUUGGAGGUUCUACCCAGUCUCUUCCCAAACCCAGUCCAUCCUAAGUGGGAACGGAUCCUUGUUCCAGACUCAGCACAAGACUUGAUGGCUAGGGUCAAAAAUGGCUUGAAGAGAUCAUGAGACCUGGAAGGGUUGUACCAGACCCUGCACCGUUUAAUUUGUUCAACCAACACUAAAGGGAAAGUAAUAGGCUUUAUCCUAAAGACUUGGGCAACUUACCAAAAUUUGCAGAUUCAUUCACAGCCGCUUGCAGACAUGCAAACAUGGCCAAGAUUGUUUUAGAUUAUUCCUGCUCAUUUAUUUCAGAUAGUGGCCCCUCUUUCAGGAGGGAUUAGGUCAGACUUUUUUUUUUUUUUUUUUUUUAAGGCAUCUUCACAUUAUACCACCUUUUGGGGAAUAAUACCUUGACCCUGCUCUGCACUUUAUGUUCAUUAUUGGUUUUGAGUCUCAAAGUAAUGAGAAACAAUAGGCAGCAGUUUUUUUCUCAAGUUUUUAAUACAUACAAUGACUUUCAAAGUUUCUUCCUUCUCCCUGUUUCAAAAUAUUUCUGCUCUGCUUUAGUAAUUUUAGGGGUAUUGUGGGGGAAGACAAUCUUUCACGUUUAACAAAAAGCUGGAUCAAUUCACUUAAAUCUCUUUUAAAGGUCAGGAUAGGAAAAAAUUGGCAGUCAUAAUUCUGGUUUCUUUAAAAAGCCUCUAUUCUUAGGCUGAGAUAAUUUUCUUCCUAAAAAAGACUUUCUGUUUUUAGAGAUAAAGGUGCACCCAUUCGUAAGAAACUCCAUCUCAUGUUUAGCGUUACCCCGUUUUCACGUUUGCUGUCACGAAUACUCCUCACACCAUCUAUGAGGUAGAUAUUAUUUACAGAUGACAGAAUCCAAAUUCUAAGGAUGAAUGAACAACAGAGGCAGGACACAUACCCAGGACUCACCCGUUGUGCUAAGUAUACGGAAAAUGCUGUGAGCCCUGCGAGGUUUGAAAGCAAGUCUCCCCUCUAGGCUGGCUGGCCUUUUGACUCCUCCUUUUCUCCCGGAAUCACAGAAGUGGGAGUUCUCGCAGGAGACCCUGGGGCGGCGGGAGGGGGCGGGCGAGACCGUGAGCUGUCAGCCUCGUGGGAGCCCAGACGUCCGUGCGGAGCCCCGGCCCGGGCGCUGGGAAGGUCGGCUCCGGUGAGGGCGCACUGCCAGGGGAGGAGUAGAUCGCGUGCAGGGCGAACACUUUCUCAUCUCCCACUGGCCAUAAACACUGAUGCAUUUCCUUGGUAACUCCCACGCCCGAGGCCUGCAGGCCACCCCCCGCCGCGGGACAGGCCUUCCCUCGCCCUGGGCGGCCUAGGCUGCCUAGGCCCUGGCCUGCCUUCGGAGAUUCCCUCGCGAGAGCUGCCCUGGGGUCGCUUAGGCCCCUGUUCUGGGACCCUCCCUCCCCCGAAGCCGGGCCUCAGCCCCGAGGCAGGCCGGGAACGUGCCCCCUGCGCGGCGCACCCCGGGCGCUGCCGAGGCGUGAGGGCGCGGGGCUGGGCAACUAGGGCGAGCGCCCCGGAAACGUACUGUGAUCCGAAAAUUGGCAGCGUGAACCGCUGCCCCCCUCCCUCCCAACCUCAUCACUAAGCCAGCCUCGAAGAGGCUCGCGGCGGCUGCGAGCGCUCGGACGCCCACCUCAGGCCAGGCUCUGAGUCAGGCUUGUCGCGGCGCCCCGAUGGGCUUGACCGCGCGUCCUCCUCGCGCCCUUUUCCGUGGGCGACCCCAGGAUGGAGGCUUGGGUUUCAAAUGCAAAACAUUCGUCUCCUGCAAUCAGAUCUGGCUUCCAGAGAAUCUUAAUACUUUGCGGAGAAAGCGCGUGGAGAAGACCCACGGCCCAAGCCCUUCUUCCCCUCAGCCGUACCUGCCCAUAAUAGACGUAAUGAAUUUGGACUGAACAUCUUCUAUUCAGUUCUUCAUGGAAUAUACUGUGGGGAGCUGAGACACCUGUGAGAAAGAUGUAAACUAGAGAGAAUGUAGCAAAUACAACCCUAUUGUGGUCACGAAGGAAAUGCCCAAGGAUGAAAAAGACAUGGAGGAGGACAAAGCUGUGUUCCAUCUGCUGCAUCAAAGGCAUAGUGCCAGCAGUUUCGUGAUGUCCAUAUCAUUAGAUAAAAAACUCAUGUGAAUCAAGGUAGGUUUGUUUUAUGUUUGACUUAGAAUGGAGAAAAGAAUGGGAAAGAUCAUACAAUACUUAGAUGGUUCAGAGAAGCUUGAAAAUAAUGCCAUCCAGGGAUCCCUAGGUAUGGCAAUUGUUUAAAAUGAUUCAAUUUGAGUCAGAAAUAUUUGUUACAUAUGAACUGUUUAUCUCAUAAAUUAUAAUAGCAGAUAUAAUGACUUCAUGGCUACAUUUUGUAAUAGAUGUAAAUAUACUGCUGUGUUAAGCAAACUUUUUUCAUGAAGAUAAAUCAGAAAAAUAUUUUGAGGUCCAUUAAAAGUUAUUUAAUUUUUAACUAUAAAUAUGAUAUAUCAUACUCAUUACAAAUCUGUAAGUAUACAAAUAAACACCACUCAAAAUCUCACAGGCAGAAUUAAUUUGCAUUUUGAAUUAUAAAAUUUAUUUCUUCAUUUGUUGAAUACUAUGAAAAAAAAAGUAUAGGUUCUUAAAAUGAACAAAGUUGAUUUCAUUGUGAAUGAGAAAAAUGGUCCUGCUUUUAGCCAAUAAAAUGCUAACACAGGACAUAUUUGACUGUACAACAUGGAAGAUUUCUAUUUUUGUAUGAAAAAAUUAGGAAGAGUCUCAUCUUGAAGUUAGUAAUAUGUAGGCUGACAUUUUGCUGUUCUGUCACCUCCAAUUUAUUACUGUUAGAGAGUGUUUGGAUCAGUUUUAACUUGCAUCACAUAUUUUUCAGUCAAAAAAAGAUUUUAAUUUGGAAUUGUUUUCUUUUGAAAGUAAUCUGAUUAUUUUUUCAGGGUUUUACUUAAUGCAUUCUAUUAUAUAUGCUUACCUAAACUUCUACCAGAGUAAAGCAUUUAUUGAUGGUGGUACUUAUGUAGAAAUUUUUAUUCAUUGGUUGCUAGUAAGUUGAUAUAUUUUACUUAUGAAAAUGAACAAUCCAAAUUUCUCCUCCAAGUUGAUUUUUUAAAAACAUUUUUCAUUACAAAUUUUCUAAGCCCAAAAGCAGCAAAAUAAAAGGGUAUUCAUAAUACUCUCAUUAGCUAUUUAUAGUUUGAAAAAUAAGUUUCAAAAUAUAUAGUUAAAUUAAAGUGAAUAUUCAAAAAGCUUUGUGAAUGUAGAAAGACAGUCUGUCAUUUGAGUGUUUUUUCAUCCUGAUUAGUACCUAUAAGUAUAUUGACAUGAUAGCCAUAUCUAUGAUUACAGUAACUUCCUUUUAUAAUCUUGAGUGAAAUAAAAUAUUGUUUUUGUAAAAUAUAUCCCACAUUAUUAAUGAAAUGAAGAAUUUGGCCAAAUUUAUUUAAAUUUUUCUACUCAAAAAACAGAUUCAUUAUGUGAAAAUUUGUUCGCUUAUUGCAUUCUUUCAUAACUAAGGAUUUAAGGAUGUUGUAGAGAACUCUAUACAGUAGUGUCUAUAUCUGGUGAUUUCUUUGUAUAAGUACAUGCUUUCCAUUUUGGAAGCAAACAUGUAAAUUACAUUAUCACUUACAGUGAUACCUCUUUAUAGUGAUAAAAGUACACUUAAUCCAUUUUCAAAAACAGCAUAUUAAUUUAAUUUAAACUGCUUAUUUAGGGUUGUGAUUAUAUAAAUAGAAUUAUGCUUUCUAUAGAGAGAAUAUUCAUGAGUAAAUUUAUGCAUUUACGUAGUAGCAUCUAAAAUAUUUCAGGGAAUGUUUUUGACAUACCAGUUAUAUAAACUAUGGUAUGUUAAAUAAAGUUGGUUAUGGUAUGUUAAAUAAAAUUCACUUAAAUAGUGAAUUUUCUAACAUAGUAAAUUUGUAGUAAAGGAGACAAAGGAUUAAGUUUGUUCUAUAAAGGGGUCAUAUGACUCAUUAAGUAAAAUCUCACAAAUGAGCAAAAUGUGUGAUCAUUUUAUUAAAAGAGGAAUUACAAAUGGCUAAUAAACAGAAGAAAAAAUUGUAACCUCAGUAAUAUCUGAGAAAAUACAAAUAGUAGUGCAAUAAGAUUAUCUUUUUUACAACUUAGAUUAGUAAGGCUUAAAAGACAUGUAAAGCUACCGAGAGUGAAGGUAAUUUACAUUCUUGACAAGAAUAAGAAUUAGUACAGUUUUAACAAUAUAUAGCAGUGAAGCUUUAUGAUGUUUAUAAUAAAAUAUUUUUAUCACCUAUACAAAGGAAAUAAUACAAGAUUUUUACUAAAGCCUACACUCCAAGAUGUUUGAGAUAGCUUUAUUUGUAAUAUGGAAAUAGAGUAAACCACCUAAAUGCCUAGGGAUGUGGUUAGGUAAAUUAUACUUCACUCAAAUGAUAGAACCUAAUGUAGUCAUUAAUAAUUAUGCAAUUAAUAAAUAGCAUAAAUAAUUUUGAUGCCAUAUGAAAAUGCUUCUGAUAUACUAAUUGAUAAAAGCUAUUUACAAACUUGUAUGCACAAUCAAUUUUAAAUAUGUUAAAAUAAGGGAGAGUUACUAGAAGGAAAUGUGUCAUACUGAGGUUCCACAAGGAGGACCAUUAUGGGUAUUUUUUCCCUGAUGGCUUUUUGUUUAUCAGUACUAAUCAAAGUCUGUUACCCUACUUUAAGGAAGGAAACAGAAGAAGGACCUUAAAAAAGUUUGUCAAUUGCCUCAAAUUAUGUGCAAAAAGAGUACGACUUUUUUUUUUUUUUUUAUAGUAAAGUAUUUGGAGCAAGCAAGAUAGCCAAAAUAACUGAAUCACUGAGAUAUAGUAUAGGGGCAGGCAUUUGAGCCUAAUGUUUAAGGUGUUGCUUGAGAUGCCCACAACCCAUAUAGGAGUGCUUGGGUUUAAACUCUGGCUGCGCUCUCUAUUCCAGCUGCUGUUAAUGUACACCCUGAGAGGCAGUGGUGCUAGCUCAAGUAGUCGGAUCCCUACCACCUUUGUGAGAGACUUGGAUUGAGUUCCCAGCUCCUGGCUUUGAUUUGCCCCAGCUGCAACUGUUGCAGGCAUUUGGGGAGUGACCCAGCAGAUGGACAGUCUCUCUCUCUCUUUGUUUCUCCCUCUCUUUUCCUUUCAAAUAAAUAAAAUCUUAUAAAAGAGUAUAUUUUUAGGAUGGAGUAAUGUGCAGUUAUUAAAAUUAUUUUUCUGAAGAGAUUUCAAAUGAGAUUUGUGCAAUUAAAAUAUGUAAAGUAUCAUAUAUAAAGUAUUAUUACAACUAUAUCCAAUGUGAUAUAUGGAGAGAAAACAAGAGUAGAAUGAAAUUGUCACAAGGUCAAAGGUGAUUUUUUUAAAAUGUUUUUACAUUUCUCAUAUUUUUUCACGAUAUAUCCCUAAUUACUUUUGUAAUCAGAAAAACAUAAGUGUUGGAAUUUUAAAAAUGUUUUAAAUUUAUUUAAUUUGUUUGAAAGUCCGAGAGACAGGGAGACACAGAGACAGGCAGAGAUCUUCCAUUUGAAGGGUCACUCCCUAAAUGCUCACAAUAGCCAUGGUGGGGCCAGGCUGAAGCCAGGAGCCUGAAACUCCUUCAGGAUCUCCCAGUUGAAUGGCAGGGACACAGAUAUUGGACCAUUACCUGCUGCCUCCUGGGUUGUGUGUUUACAAGAAACUGGCAACUGGAACAGAGCUGGGGCUUGAACCCAUGCACUCUGAUAUGGAAUGAGGGUGUCUUAAUGGCUACAACAAUGCCUCCCCAACAGAAUUUUUAAUAGGUUUUCUUAAAGUUUCUCUUGGGCAAAAUUUGUUGUAACUCAUCAGGCAUACAAUCUUGGAGUGUCAAGCAGACUUGUUAAUAUACAUAUGUACUUCAAAAUAAAGCAGCCCACUGAAUCAGUGGUCAUUAUGAAGAAAUAAAACACUCAUGCUCUUUUUUUUUUUUUUAAGUAAACUUAUUUGAGAAGGAGAGAGAGAGAGAGAGAGAACACGUGAGAGCGAGAGCAAGCUCUGUUUUAUGGAUUCACUCCCUAAAUGCCCACAACAGCCGUUUGUUGGGCUGAAGCCAGGAACUGGCAGUUCAGUACAGGUCUCCCAUGUGGAUGGCAGGGACCUAGACCUAAGUACUUGAGCCAUCAUCUGCUGCUUACUACAUUAAAGGAAAACUGGAAUUGUGAGAGGAGCUGCACUCCAAUGUGGGAUGCAGGUAUCCUAAUUGAUGUCUUAAACAUUAGACCAAAUGCCUGCCCAACUUUGACUUUUUAAAAGGCAAUUUAGGGGCAUUUGCUGUAGCACACUGCUUGGAACGCUGCCUUCCUUUAUCAGAGUGCCUUGGUUCAAGUUCUGACUUUAUUUCUCAUUCUAAUUUCCUGAUAAUGUGCACCCUGAGAAGCAGCAAGCGAUGAAUCAAGUACUUGGAUUUCUGCUACCCACAUAGGAGACCUGGACUGAUUUUUCCAGCUCCUAGCUUCAGUAUAGACCAGUCCUGGGUGUUGUAGGCAGUUGAAGACUGAACAAGGGGAUGGAUUUCUCUGUCUCUGUGUCUGCUUGUGUGUCUCUCUCUGUCUUUCAAGUAAAUAAAAAUAAAUAAAAGGGCAUUUAAAAGGGAUAUUUAAGCAAAAGGAGAAAAAAUAGUUUAAAACAUGCAGUUUUGGUCUUAAUUUUAGAAAGUUCAUUUCAAAUAAAAAAUAAAUAUAGCACCAUAAUAAGCCCAUCUGCUUUUAACCUGAAAUUAUUAGAAUUAAUUCCCUACUUAUUGUUCUUUCAUUGUGCUGUUUAUAGAUGAAUGUAUACUAUAAACAUGUGUCUUCAUAUUGAAUAUAUGAUCAUCUAAAAUCGGUUCAGCUAAUCACAAGCCAUGUCUUCCUAUCUCAUCUCAGACACAUACAAUAUGAUACAAACUACUCAAAUUACCAAAGUCAACAUUUUUUUCUGUGUGUUUUUUUUUUUUUAAUCAGUGUUCUUUUGAAAAGGCAUAAGCUUUCAGAUUGUAAGGAACCAAAGAUUAAAAGUUCAUAAAUAUCUAUUAGGAGAAACUUGUAAAACAUAUUUGUGUUGUUAUAUUUCACAAGAACUUUUUUCUCAAAUUUAGUUGUUUUCUUUUCCUCUGCAAAAAAAGAGCCAACUCUUUUUUAAAAAGUCCUGUCUACAACCUCAUCUUCCUCACAACCCCCCCAAAAGUAAAAAACAAAAAACAAUUUUGUUCAUACGAUAUUUCCCUUGAGGGCUUAAUCGGUUUAGUCUGUAGGAUUUCCUUUUUGGGUGACAUUAUCAGGAGAAAUUACCCUGUAUGGUUACCUAUGGUCAAUGAGAUUUGACAGGCUUUCCUUCUCGCUCGUCUGUGUGUGAGUGAAGGUUGCGGGCAGUUCCCUGAGACAGGAAGGUGUUGUCUAGACGUGACUCUUUGAAGUUGCUUUUACUUCUAUCUUCAGCUCACUGAAAUUUCGUUUUUGGGGGUUAUUAAGCACUCAGAGCUUGUGUAUACUGCAGCAUUAGUUAUUAUACUAUUUACUGUACUACUUUGGGGGAAAAGCAGGCUGGCUAUGGAAUUUGCCUGGAAUUCAUUCUUUGUCAUCCUUGGGUGGCCCUUACCCAGGCAGUAGCUUCAGGCCAAGGAGAAAGACAAGGAGAAAUUGAGAAGAGGAUUUUGUAAACUGAGAAAGUCCUCAUUAAGAUAGUUUAUAUCAGUCAUGUAACAGAAAUUUUUUAUUUGUUUUGUUUUUCUUAGGACUAGAGGAUUCAUUAUAAAAUUUUGGUUUAAAAAGAGUAAUAAUCGUGACAGAAAAGAAUGAUGUUCCAGUCAUUUUCUUAACCCAUUUUUAAAAAUGAUUUACUUGCAUUAUUUGAAAGAGUUACAGAGAGAGAAAGAGAGGGACUGAUACAGAGAGAGAUAUCUCCCAUCUACUGGUUCACUCUCCAGAUGGUUGCAAUGGCCAGAGCUGGGGCAGGCAGAAGCCAGGAGGCAAGAGUUUCUUUCUGGUCUCCCAUGGAGGUGUCUGGGGCUUAAACACUUGGACCACCUUUGGGCUUUUUCCCAGACCAUUAGCAGUGUCACAAGUGGUGGCUUUAUCCACUAUGCCACAACUCUGGCCCCUUCUUAACACAUUUUUAAAACUUGCAUUGUUUUUAUUUUUUAUAUUACCCUAUAAAGCAAUGUAUUUGAAUUCUCCUGGUAGUAUUACAUUGGUCCAAGUUUAAAAGACAUGUUUUUCUCUUUAGGAAAAAUGCUUAUCCCCCACACUGUACCCCACUCCCUCCAAUGGCUAUAGCAGAUUAUGGAUAAGGGGUUAUUUCUGUCUUUAGCACAGUCUUUACUUGUUUAUCAUGAGUACAUUAAAGAAAUGAAAAUGUUAACAAAUCUUGACACUCCUUCAGACUUUUAUAUAGGAAAAAUCCAAAAAUUUCCAUAAGUGAACUAGUACUCUCAUUUUUGAGAAGUAGAAGUGGUGUGUGUGUGUGUGUGUGUGUGGGGUUUGUGUAAUAACCCUAGAUUUUUUUCUUUUACUAAUAAAAGUAUAAACUUUAAUGUUUCAAUUUACCUUUUUCCCUGUUCUAUUUCUUUUUUUUUUAGAAAAGUUUAUUUAAUAAAUAAAAAUCAUAGGUAAAGCUUUUGGAACAUAGUAGUUCUUUACCCCGUAUCUGUCCUCCUACCCCCAAACCGUCCCACCUCCUAUUCCCUCUCACAUCCCACCCUUCAUUAAGAUUCAUUUUUAAUUAUCUUUAUAUACAGAAGAUUAACUCUAUACUAAGUAACGAUUUUAACAGUUUGUACCCACAUAGAUACACAAAAUAUAAGGUACUGUCUGAAGACAAGUUUUACUGUUAAUUCUCAUAGUACAGCUCAUUAAGGACAGAGGUCCUACGUGGGGAGCAAGUGCACAGUGACUCCUUUUUUUUUUUUUUUUUUUUUUUUUGACAGAGUGGACAGUGAGAGAGAGAGACAGAGAGAAAGAUCUUCCUUUUUGCUGUUGGUUCACCCUCCAAUGGCUGCAUCGCGCUGAUCCGAAGCCAGGAGCCAGGUGCUUUUUCCUGGUCUCCCAUGGGGUGCAGGGCCCAAGCACCUGGGCCAUCCUCCACUGCACUCCCGGGCCAUAGCAGAGAGCUGGCCUGGAAGAGGGGCAACCGGAACAGAAUCUGGCGCCCCGACUGGGACUAGAACCUGGUGUGCUGGCGCCGCAAGGCAGAGGAUUAGCCUAUUGAGCCACGGCGCCGGCCAUCCUGUUGUUGAUUUAACAUCAAUUUACUUUUUAAUGUCAGUAACUCCUCUGUGCUUUUUCUUUCUGCUAUAGGAAAAAGGUUUAUUUAUUUCAAAUUCAUAUCUACCUUGUCUGGAUUGGAGUUUCAGGGGAAAUGUAGAAGUGGUCAGUUUACUGAAACUUUUUAUAAGCAAUCCUUUACCAAGGCCUUAAUUCCUAUGGGAACACUUACUAAGACGUUAGACAACAUGUUAUGAAUAGAACACUUUGAAAGCCCAAAGAAAUACUUUCAUAUUUCUCAGGUGAGUGGUCUAGGUCUCUUAUUAGCACAUGAAUAAAUUGAGCACUAAGUUUAGUAGGCUAGUAUUUUGGAUUGAUUUAUAUCAAAGAGGAGUAAAAAUGGAAGAGAGUAUGCAGCAUAAAUAUUGUGAGGCCAGAGAGAGAGAGCUGUUUUAGAAUCACAUAUCCUGCCCUUUAGAGUGCCUCACAGUUUAAAAAGGCAUUUUACCUAUAUAUAAUCUUACUUGGAUUUUUAUUCAAAAAGCAAUUCUUAAAUAGUCAUCAUGAAAGAGCCAUGACCAAUUUUCAUCUUUUAAGGUAUGGGAAUUGAGGAUUAUGGUUAGCAACACACUUAAAUUUGCAUAGUUAGUAAGGUGCAAAGAAUUAAA